UCUGGCUGGAAGGACAGCGGGAAAGCUGAAUUCUAGUGGCUUUUGUCCUACCCUCUGGACCAUUUAGACUCACUAGUUAGGAUUUCCUCUUAAGCUUCUUCAGGAAGAGGAGGUUUAUAUCAGAUUUUUUUGAUAUGCCUGAAAACCACAGAAGGGAACUGAAGUGAGACUGCAGGUCCAGUUGAACCAAUGAUUCUCAAGGAUGGCUACAGCAGGGUGUUUGUGCACUGAUCAAAGCUCUGAACUCUUUGUCCCCCAAGUCACACUCCCAGCACACAGAGCUGCCUCUUGGGUACCAACUGAUGUUUCCACCUUGGGACUGAAGUCUGUCUUUGAAAGGCCAGGUUCAGUAGCCAUGUAGGGCCUAGAACCUGUCAACCUUCCUGUGCCUGUCAUCAAAUGCUGGUGACUACAACCUGGCUAGAUCUUUGCUCCUUCUCCAAGAUCUGUUUGAAUACAAUUGGGAUUUAAAAAGUGAUAAAACAAGACAAAAAACAAACAAACAAACCCAUCAAACUCCCUGUAUGACUUUUCCAAACAGUUUUCCCUAAACUUAAAUGGUUUCCAAAAGUUUAAAAUUUUUAAAUAAACAAUUUUAUGUGAUCAUUUCAAGAUGGCCACAUAAAAUUUUAUAUUUUAAGGUUUGGGAUUGUGAGGGCUAUUCCUGGUUAUCAACUCAACUCUAUCUGGAAUGAACUACAAUCCAGAAAUGGAGGGCACAGCUGAGAUCCAGAUCUUGAGGCAGAGUGGCCAUGAAAAGCUUAGGCCUAGGCUUGAUAUUACAGAUAGUCUCCAGACAUGCAGCUUUAAUCCCAGGAGACAGGGGCAAGCAGAGCUCUGAGUUCAAGGCCAGCCUGGGACAAAGCAAGUUCCAUGAAAAGCUGAGAUCCAGGCAUAGUGGUUCGCAACUUUAAUCUGGAUCAUACCUUCUGCUGGGCCUACAGAAGGACAAUGGAAGAAACACCCAGUCUCGUGGGACUGAGCAACUACGAGACUCUUGGACUUUCCAUUCACAGCUGGCCAUUGUUGGGUUAGUUGGGCAGUAGCCUGUAAGUCAUUCCAAUAAAUUUCCUAAAUAUGUAGAGACAUUCUCUAAGUUCUGUGACUUGAGAGAACCCUGAGUAAACAGGGAUAUCUCAUUGGCUUUCCCAAGGCAACCUUCAUAGUGUUUGUUACUACAGGCUUGUGAAGCUAUCUCUUCCAUACUUCAGAGGGCAAAAUAUUAUACAUGAAUUUCUACUGAUAGCUUACUACUGAUAGUAUCCAGAUACGCAGUUACUUGAAAUUUCAAUGUAUUGCUGUCUUCAGAGAAUUAAUGCAUUACAUGUUUACAAAAAAAAUCCAUUUAAUGCCUCAAUCUAGCAAAGCCUGAAAUAUUCCAGAUUCUGAAAUAAGUUCAUUUUUCUACAUUUCUUAAGUUUAAAUAACACCUGAGUCAUUUUAAGGAAGAACUUUUUUUUUUAUUUCCAUUUCUCAAGCAUGAUUCUUCACACAGAACCACACAGGUGCACUUUGGGCUACAUAACAACCUCUGCUUCAAAAACAUACAAACAAAAAACAAAACACCCCUCAAUCCACCAUCUUGUUAGCAUAAUAGAGGAAAAUAACAGAGCUGCUGACCAGUGGCAAACAUGGGAGACUACUACAGUAAGUGUAGAAAAAGCCAGCUCUUUCUCCACUGUGCACUGUGGAGCCCAGUGACAUAUACUCAGGCUUUCUUAAAACCUUUUGGAAUAGGAUACAUGUUUCCAAAUGCUACCUAGAUCUCAGAAAAAUCUUUGGAACCUAUAAAGAAAUCCAAGUGCCAAGUAUAUAUAAUCGGGUUUUUUUUUUUUUUUUUUUGGGUGGGGGUGUGUUUCUUUAGUUGUUUUUGGUUUUAGUUGUUUGUUUUUCCUAAGACAAGGUUUCUUUGUGUAGCCCUGGCUGUCCUAGAACUCACUUUGUAGACUAGGCUGGCCUUAAACUGACAAAGUUCAGACUUCCUCUGCCUCCCAAGUGGUGGGAUUAAAGGUGUGCUCCACCACACCCACCUAUAAUCUUUUUUUUUUUUUUUUUUUUUUUGGAGCUGGGGGACCAAACCCAGGGCCCUGUGCUUGCUAGGCAAGCACUCUACCACUGAGCUAAAUCCCCAACCCCCCAGCUAUAAUCUGUUUUUUUUUUUUUGGUUCUUUUUUUCGGAGCUGGGGACCGAACCCAGGGCCUUCCGCUUCCUAGGUAAGUGCUCUACCACUGAGCUAAAUCCCCAGCCCCCCAGCUAUAAUCUUAAACGCAAUCUUAAACAGACUAGAGUCAUUUGUGUCUGCCUCCCAGUGCUGGGAUUCCAAGGAUGUGGUACUAUUACUAUGUCCAGUUUUCUUUCUUUCUUUUUUUUUUUAAUUAACUUGAGUAUUUCUUAUUUACAUUUCGAGUGUUAUUCCCUUUCCUGGUUUACGGGCCAACAUCCCCCAAUCCCUCCCCCUCUCCUUCUUUAUGGGUGUUCCCCUCCCCAUCCUCCCCCCAUUGCCGCCCUCCCCCAACAAUCACGUUCACUGGGGGUUCAGUCUUAGCAGGACCCAGGGCUUCCCCUUCCACUGGUGAUCUUACUAGGCUGUUCAUUGCUACCUAUGAGGUUAGAGUCCAGGGUCAGUCCAUGUAUAGUCUUUGGGUAGUGGCUUAGUCCCUGGAAGCUCUGGUUGCUUGGCAUUGUUGUACAUAUGGGGUCUCGAGCCCCUUCAAGCUCUUCCAGUUCUUUCUCUGAUUCCUUCAACGGGGGUCCUGUUCUCAGUUCAGUGCUUUGCUGCUGGCAUUCGCCUCUGUAUUCUGGCUGUGUCUCUCAGGAGAGAUCUACAUCCGUAUGCCCAGAUUUUCUGAUUAUCUCUAUGACAUCUCUUUAGCCGUCCCCCAAAAGGAGCAUUUCUUUCCAGGAAAGAAGACAAUUGAGGGGACACACUAUAGCCACCGUCUCCCAGAAUGCACACCCUACAGCAGAAGUUGCUUUAGUAUUUCCAGCCUGUAAAUACUGCCUUCAGUCAUACAGGGCCCUGCAGAAAAAUGGAUGGAAUGUUCUUCCAGUGAGUGACACAGCAUGACCUAAGAGUGAAGUCAUCGGCACUGGUGAACACUUAGCCAUCAGCAAAAGGAACUGUAAGAGGAACAUCUUGCCCUGGGGUUUGCUUUGGUGUGCGUGGUUGUACCCCCCUACCCCAUGGCCUUUUUGGGUGUCUGCUCAGGGUCAUCUCCCCUUGAAGUGAGAGUACCCCGACGUGUCAGAAUUAAACUCCUCUUGCUUUUACAUCAAUCACUGUCUCCAUGAGUCUCAUUCAAGAGGUCCUGGAAGAGGUUCAAUUCAGACCUCACAGUACCAGGGAUCAGACCUAGGGCCUUUUACAUUCUGAGCAAAGCCUUUCCCCCUGAGCUGUGCCCUAACCCUCACCCAACACUUGCCCUUGAACCAUAGCAAAGGAAAACUUGGAUUCCAAUUAACAAUCAAUAAUGAAAUGCCCUGCCUUACAGCCCCAGCCCCAAAUGAGUGACUCUUGCUUUUAAAGGAAGCUUUUUCUGUGCACUGUAAUAACUGACCCAUUGUGACACACAUCACUCCCUAGCCACUGAGGGGGCAACUGUGGCCUGGCACACCAGAUAAAGGACUGGCUUUGAAAUUGAGUAAGAGCCCAAAUGCCAGAUCUACAAGUAACUUUGAGAUCGCAGACAUUUCACCUCCCAGUUUCCGCUUCCUUACCAGAAGGACAGCAGCCCUUCUCAUACAGUAGUGACAGAGGGCUUGAUGAUCUCCAGAUGGGCAGCUGCAUCCUAACAGGACAUUCAUCUGACGGCUCCCCAAAGGAGGAACCAGUCAUUUGGACACUAGAUUUGCCCAAGGGUAGCGCCCCUUCGGGACCCUGAAUAACUGGGUCCCCACUGGCGGGGACAAGUGGCACCCGAACAGGGACCCCGAAGUACAGCCAACUACCGGACGACGGAGACAGGAGAUCCGAGGAGAGAUUGAGGACUCUUCAGGCUGCAUCACUCGUGCAUCUCUGGAGAGGGAGAAAAAAUGGGGGCUGGAGAGAUGGCUCAGCGGUUAAGAGCACCCGACUGCUCUUCCAGAGGUCCUGAGUUCAAUUCCCAGCAACCACAUGGUGGCUCACAACCAUCUGUAAGGAGACCCGAUGCCCUCUUCUGGUGUGUCUGAAGACAGCUACAGUGUACUUAUAUAUAAUAAAUGAAUAAAUAAAUCUUUAAAAAAAAAAAAAAAGAAAAGAAAAAAUGGUAAAAACUUUAUCUGCCAGUCGUUCACACCUUGACUUGGUUUUAACUUGUUUCAAAAAGGGAACAAUGAAUAAAAAGCAGUUUCAAUUGGCUUUUAGAGUCUACAUCUGUAGCUAGAAGCCUAAGUCCGCUGGGCAAGCUCCACAGGGGGUGGCUAAAUGUUUAUACUAGCUGAUCCUAAAGACACCAGAAGCUUCACAGCUUCUAUGGUAAUGAAACUGAUGGCUGUUUCUCUUAGAAAAUCUUUGACUGUGAUUAUUGGACUCAACAGGUGACAAGGUGCUUCUCUUAAAAUCACAGCUAGAAAACUAAAAAUGGUGCUUGGUGUAAAUAUUAAAGACAUGUAUAGCCACUUCAACUUUGUUUCUGAUUGGUUUUAAAUGUAUAAAUAUGCUCUACAUGCCUUGGUCAUAGGUUAUUGGCUUUUAAGUUAUUGGAGAUGGUUAAAAAAGUCAUUCUAGACAACAUGUGACAUGGGCCAACCUAGGGAAGCAGGUCUAAAUUGAGGUAAUAUUUUUAUGGAAUUCUUAUUCUAAAAACCAGGCUUCUAAAAGAUUUUAGGACAAUGUCUCUUUGCUGAGGUAUCGGAGACCUGCACCAUCGUGCGUUCAUAUGUAGGAAUUGACAGUCAAACUUAGUAGCAUGAAAGACAGACUCAGUGUCUUGGAGACUAGAUUUUGGAGACUAGUUUGUUGGAGGUUGAGUUUUGCUUUCCAAAGUUGUGGUUUGCCCUAGAGUUACCUGUAUUUUGAUGCUAAUUCCACUGCCCCAAGGGCAGCUGCCUAGUCACAUACUCAGAACUCAGGUGACUUCCCAAAGUUGUGGCUGUGCUCUGGUGUUACAAGGAGAACUUAAGGAUUGUGAUUAAGGAUUGCCAGUGUUACAUUGACUAACUCAAUCUUAUUUAUAAUUGAGAAAAAAUCAAACAGGUAGAGAUUGUUACAGGGCUUACGAAGGAUUGAUGCAGUUUGUUUAUAUGGAAAUUUUUACUACAAACCUUUGCUCUCAAAAUGAGCUUUAAUAUUUAGAGAGUAGCUAUUGCUCCAGAAAAGAUUCAAUAUUCAUUUUUAAUAUUUAAAAUUAAUUUUAAGCUUCUAAGGAUAUGUUAAUUGGCUAAAUACCUCACCUUACCUGAGGACUUAAGCCUUUGUUAUCCUCAUUGGAGAUAAAGCUUUUGUCAUAUUAGUACAAAAUUGUAGGCUAGAGUCAUGGAAAUAUUUAAAAAAAAAGAAACAUGGUGAAACAUAUCUUAUUCCAAACAGCAAUUAAAUUGGUUAUUACAAAAUACUGAUAUUUGGCCUAUUACAUAUACAAAUUUCAGGCAAAAUUGAUAAUUUUACUCUUUGCAUGCUUUUGUAUUUCCUAUAAAUUUGUGCAUGCAACCCAUAGGAAAUGAGCUUACUGUAUUUAUAGGUGGUUCAUCUAAUGAAAAGGCUACAUGUAUGAUUGGAUCACUUGUUUAUUCUCUUGAGUUUCCCCUGCUUCAGCACAGAUUAUUAAUUAACUGUAGCCAGUUUUUAAAAUGUUAAACAAAAAAAAUCAAGCUUUCAAUUCAUAUACUGAUAGCCAAUGUGUGCCUUAUGGUUUACAGUUGAUUAAAACGUUUCCCUUUUUAGAUACUACUAGCCCUCAAAUUAUACAAUUACUUAAUGCUAUAUUAGAGGCAGGUUUUCUACUUGAAAUCAGUGAGUGAUAAUUUCAGUGUGAAUGUCUGACAACUCACUGUCCUUUCAGUGCUCUGACUCAGACAACUAAACAAAACCAUAGACCCAGCUCUUUGAAAAUGAUAAUGGAGUUGAUAACACUCCCUCACAAAAAGAGGAAGACUCCAUUUGCUUACUUUCAACUCCCAUCCUCACCUUACCAGCUCAGGGAUUUCUAGUACGACUGAAUCUGGAUGCUUAUGUUUAGGUAAAUUAAGCUGGUGAGGGGCUGGAGUGAUGGCUUAGUGGUUAAGAGCACUAAGCACUGUUCCUUUAUAGGCCAUUUAAGAACUCAAACUGGAUUGCCUGGCCCCCUUAGCAAGGGAGGACAAUGAUACCAGGCAGAUUAUAGGCCUUACAUAGGAAUAGUUAGUCAAAAAAUCUCAUUCUUUAUAUAACCAAAACAAUAAUGCUGGAGACAAUAAUUUGGUAUAAAAGUCAAUUUAUAAAUACAAGUGCUCAGUGUCCUCAAUUUAAUCCUCAAGGACUUAUCUUAAUAAAUAAUAUUUUAGGGGUUGGGGAUUUAGCUCAGUGGUAGAGCGCUUGCCUAGGAAGCGCAAGGCCCUGGGUUCAGUCCCCAGCUCCGAAAAAAAAAUAAAUAAUAUUUUAACAAUAUUUUAAUAAAUAAAAAAGGGGAGUCAUCCCUGUAUGCUAAAAUAUGCUCCUUUUAUUUCAAUUUUAAAAUUUGGAUGCCAAGGAACACUCUGAGUUUAUGGCACCCUACAACUAGGCAUACUUCUGCCUAGGUGAAAUAGAAAGAUCCACAUAUUGGCAUGAUCCUGUUCAGAUAUUUUAUAUGGGGAAGAGGGAAUCUUUGUGUUUUUUCUACAGGAUGCUACAGGAGUGUGCCAGCUGCCCGAGUGGCUGGUGAGCCAUGCUGAUCCCGGGAGCAUGAAGAUUCAGCUCUCGUGGUUCGGGUCCCUGAAGUCAUUACUCUGCCCUGAGAGGAAGAUGAAAGAUUCCCCCUCAUCUUUUGUCAUCACAGAGAUUUUGGCGUUGCUGCAGUCAGUGUUACCACUGCGUGUGUCCCGCCCCACCGCGGCCUGCGCUCCAACCCUCUGUGCACUGCUGCUUGCUGGAGAAGACUGGACUCCAGCUGUUACCCCUACCCCCCUCAUUCCCCUGGUGACUCUUGCUGCCUUAACUGGUGUUGUCAUUUUGCAGUCUGUAGCUUCACAGGAAUGCCACCUGCGUGAAGCUGCUGUGGACUGGGGAACUCUGCCCUGGUUCUGUAGAUCUCAGACAUGGUUCCAUUGCCUGCUGGUUGUUCCAGAGAAGAAUGACCGAUCCUGAACUGUCCUGGGAAAGACCUUGGCAUUUUCGCUGCUAUUGUAGCAGCCAUUACUGCUGCAGCCAUUGUGUCUGCAGUGUCUGGAGUUACCCUCCCCCAAUCUAUUGUUAGGCAAGCACAGUGGGUGAACCUUCUGGAGUAGUUGCUAACAAUUGGGAAUUCUAAAUUUUAUUACAGGAGAGGCUUGACUAGGCCCUUGGUGGUAUGGCCAUAGCAGGUGAGGAGAACCAGAUGAGGUGCCCACUACUUAUCAGGAGAGGCUCAAUUUCCACAAUCUCUUAUAUUAAUGCCAUCUGGCCCCUGCUCUUUCGCCCCUGGGCUCAAAUAAGAGGAAUGAGAAGAUGAUCCAACGUAGCUAUCCUCAGGGACAGGCAACUUCCUCUGACCCUUGACCAAUCUAAGACAGGAACCUUGGGGCGACAAGGUGAUCCUAUGACGGAUAAGGCUGGGGUUCGAGAGGUCGAUCCUAAGACAGAGGUGGCUACACCCCGUUUAAACGUGCGGGCCGGUCAAAUGCUCCUCUGCCCAGUUUCUCCCAAUAACACACACAUAUAGCCCAGAACGGUGUGUUACAGCAUAAGUUCAUUCCUAGCCAUUGGGGUGCAGUCCUAACUGCAAGAGUGGCUUGCAUGGCCGAGCUAGGCACUCUGUGAGGCAUGUCUGAUCUCUCUCAGACCACUACUUCCACCUAAUGGUCUUUUUAAAAAAAAGAAAAGAAUAAUGGGGGAGAUGUACAGAGCCAUAUUGGAUUUGGGCCUAGCCGCUUUUUGACUACAUGGCUCAAAGUGACUAGGUGACUCUGGGCUGUUUGGCCACAGAGACUCACCCCUAAGAUGACUGCCUUAAGUCUUAAGAUUGUUGAAUGAAAGCCUCUCCCAUGAAUUUAUGGCACAGGAAGAUAACAUUCAAGGGAUGCCUCAGCUCCCUUAGCAGAUACCUGUUAUCUCCUCAGUCAACACCCGGUGUCUCAACCACCUGACCUCAUCGCCUGACUUCUUUGCCUCCAGCUAUCACUGCCUAUACCCUCAUCUCCCCCUCCUUCAUGUUUCACAAAGGUCACUCCCCCUACCUGAAAGCCUUAAAAGCUGUAACGUUCAUCCCAAUAAAUGAGACCUUGACAACAGAAUCUUGCUUGGUCUCCUUCUUCUCUCACCCCCCAUUUAGGCCCAAGGGUAGCACCCCUUCGGGGCCCUGAAUAACUGGGUCCCUGCUGUCGGGGACAAAGUAUUAUUCCAAAUGGCUUCUUAGAUUGGUGUAGGUAUCGGCGUAGGUGUCUCUCUUGUGUUGAAGUCCCAGAAGCAAUGUAGAGGGUGGUUCUGAUGCUUUGAUCAGGAAUCUGUUUACUGACACCCAUUGCCCUCAAUCGGUUUUUGAUCUAUCAAUAAAGUUGCCAAUACCCAAUGACUAAGCACGGGGGACUGAACAUUGAGAGUUAAGUGGGGAGACUGGGAGAGAGAGGAGAAUAGCAGAGGAGAUAAAGCCAACCAGCCGUGUGAGUUUCGAGUAAGUGGUCUCUGGUCACUUCCCUGAUUGGGCCUGGAGUAGCAGGGGAAGAUUUAGGAGUGCCCAGUCAUUGAGUUAGCAAAGGCAUUUUGAGAAUAACUGGCAUGUAGAGUGUGUGUGUGUGUGUGUGUGUGUGUGUGUGUGUGUGUGUUUUCUAUGAAGGAUCCAAGUUAGCUCCUGGGUGGGUGCACAAAUGUGCCUAGCUGGGAACACAAAGUAGUGUAAUCAAAAAGUACAUGCAACAGGGCAAAACCCAUAAAAGCUCAAAGACAGGCGCAGGAGGUGCUGCCAGGUGCCUGAUUCAGGUCCAAGCCUCUUGUGACUAAUUAUACAAAGCCAUUCUAACUGACCUCUAUUGUGAUGGCUUUCCAAGAACAGCAAAGCAUGGAACAUAAUAGAAUAUGCAAUCAACUGAGGCAUGAGAAAGUUUCCUAGUAACAGCACAAGGGAGAGUUUCUUUGUAAUAGUAUAAGAUGGAUGGCUACAGGCAUAAAACAAAAUGGCUACAGUUAUAUUAGUGGAGCAGGCCUCAAGACUCUGGGAUCCUCAUUAUGAGAGGUGGCAGGCCUCUGCCCAUCAAAGGAGAAUUAGUCUCCACUGGGACUUACCAUUAAUCUAGUUGGAAAGCUAGGAUAGAUAUGAAAAAAAUAAAUCUUACAGAAACGGAAACCAAACAAGACUGGGUCUAUUCUGUGAGGUAUGAAUUGAACCUCUUCUGGGACUCCCUGAAUGAGACCCACAGAGAUGAUGAUCGAUGCAAAAGGAAGAGAAGUUUAAUCAUUCCAACAUGUUGGGGUCAUCUCACUUCAA